UCCUUUUAUUUUUAAAAAGACUAUCGGUUUCGAGGUCAAACUUUACACCUCAUCUUCACCUCGAAACCGGUAGUCUUUUUAAAAAUAAAAG
rnacentral:pre_miRNA from 14 species